rnacentral:rRNA from 1 species
AUUGAACGCUGGCGGCAUGCUUUACACAUGCAAGUCGAACGGCAGCGCGGGCUUCGGCCUGGCGGCGAGUGGCGAACGGGUGAGUAAUGCAUCGGAACGUGCCCAGUAGUGGGGGAUAGCCCGGCGAAAGCCGGAUUAAUACCGCAUACGACCUGAGGGUGAAAGCGGGGGACCGAAAGGCCUCGCGCUAUUGGAGCGGCCGAUGUCGGAUUAGCUAGUUGGUGGGGUAAAGGCUUACCAAGGCGACGAUCCGUAGCUGGUCUGAGAGGACGACCAGCCACACUGGGACUGAGACACGGCCCAGACUCCUACGGGAGGCAGCAGUGGGGAAUUUUAGACAAUGGGGGCAACCCUGAUCCAGCCAUGCCGCGUGCGGGAAGAAGGCCUUCGGGUUGUAAACCGCUUUUGUUCGGGAAGAAAUCCUCUGGGCUAAUACCCCGGGGGGAUGACGGUACCGGAAGAAUAAGCACCGGCUAACUCCGUG